rnacentral:rRNA from 1 species
UACGUAGGGUGCGAGCGUUGUCCGGAAUUACUGGGCGUAAAGAGCUCGUAGGUGGUUUGUCACGUCGUCUGUGAAAUUCCGGGGCUUAACCUCGGGUGUGCAGGCGAUACGGGCAAUACUUGAGUGCUGUAGGGGAGACUGGAAUUCCUGGUGUAGCGGUGAAAUGCGCAGAUAUCAGGAGGAACACCAAUGGCGAAGGCAGGUCUCUGGGCAGUUACUGACGCUGAGGAGCGAAAGCAUGGGUAGCGAACAGGAUUAGA